rnacentral:rRNA from 1 species
CUCAGGAUGAACGCUAGCGGCAGGCUUAAUACAUGCAAGUCGAGGGGCAGCAUGGUUGUAGCAAUACCACUGAUGGCGACCGGCAAACGGGUGCGGAACACGUACGCAAUCUACCCAAAACUGAUGAAUAGCCCUCCGAAGGGAGGAUUAAUACAUCGUAACUUAAUGAAGUGGCAUCAUUUUAUUAAUAUAGCUCCGGCGGUUUUGGAUGAGCGUGCGCCUGAUUAGGUAGUUGGCGGGGUAACGGCCCACCAAGCCAGCGAUCAGUAACUGGUGUGAGAGCACGACCAGUCACACGGGCACUGAGACACGGGCCCGACUCCUACGGGAGGCAGCAGUAAGGAAUAUUGGUCAAUGGACGCAAGUCUGAACCAGCCAUGCCGCGUGAAGGAUGAAGGUCCUCUGGAUUGUAAACUUCUUUUAUAUGGGACGAAACCUCUUAUUCUUAAGAGACUGACGGUACCAUAGGAAUAAGCACCGGCUAACUCCGUGCCAGCAGCCGCGGUAAUACGGAGGGUGCAAGCGUUAUCCGGAUUCACUGGGUUUAAAGGGAGCGUAGGAGGGCAGGUAAGUCAGUGGUGAAAUCUUCGAGCUUAACUCGGAAACUGCCGUUGAUACUAUCUGUCUUGAAUACCGUGGAGAUGAGCGGAAUAUGUCAUGUAGCGGUGAAAUGCUUAGAUAUGACAUAGAACACCAAUUGCGAAGGCAGCUCGUUACACGAAUAUGACUCUGAGGCUCGAAAGCGUGGGGAUCAAACAGGAUUAGAUACCCUGGUAGUCCACGCCCUAAACGAUGGAUACUCGACAUACGCGAUACACAGUGUGUGUCUGAGCGAAAGCAUUAAGUAUCCCACCUGGGAAGUACGACCGCAAGGUUGAAACUCAAAGGAAUUGGCGGGGGUCCGCACAAGCGGUGGAGCAUGUGGUUU